GAGCGCAACAUGGGGUGCCAAGGCUCGAAGCCGCGGCUGAGAUAACACCCAUCGAACCUGCACUGAGUUAGAACUAGCGAAGGGAUCGUUGUGAACGACGCCG
rnacentral:ncRNA from 1 species